GCUGAUAGCACAGCUAACAUGAGAGGAAAGCUGGGCUGUCAGGAGAGCUGUGUCCUGUUUCCAGGCACAGCAAGGACAGCUGGGUUCAGACUGAAGCAAGACCCGAAAUGGAUGCCCUGUUGGAGAGCAUUGGUGAUUUACCCUACAGGCAACCAUUGGCUCAUUUUGUGCUACAGGAAAGGGGUUGUGCCAAUUCACAUGCUCACUGGCGGUACACAAGAGUCCCACAGCCUCCACCAAAGAGUGCCCAGCCUAAUGGUGGCCAUCUUUUAGAGGAGGAAAUAAAUGUUCAGAGAAGUCAAGUUCCUUGUGCAAGCGGGAUUCGAUACAGGGGACACAACCAAGAGACCUCUGAGUCCCUCCACACAUCCAUGCUGUGUGUUGACUUGCUUACAAGAGUCCCCUGUGUCAGAGGCUGCCUGGCAGUGGGGACAUGAGCCUUUCCCUUAGAGGGAAACAUGAGAUUGGGCAACAAGGGUAGUCCUCAAGGUUCUACCUCGAGACUCCAGGACGCUGGACAUUGGAAAUGAGGCCACACCCUGGAGGAGCAUUGUCGGCUAAAGCCAAACACCAUUAGCGUCUGAAGGGGAUGUGGGACCCAUCUAAGGUAUCACAUCCCUGAUCACCCACCAUGGGGUCUGCAGCUGGAGAGGGUCCCCCCAGGAGGGGCUGGAGCGGGGAGUUCUCUGCCCUGGGAGGCAGGUCUCCUGGCCCUUCACUGGAGUGAUCUCUUCUUUUCUGAUGUCAAAUCCUGAUCUAAAGGGAGGCAUCUUCCUUCUUAUGGCAUGGCCAUGUCUCCUGUGUUCCUUCCUCAAGCCAAAUCCUUUUCCACGAUGCCUUCCCCUCUGAGCCCUGUAUAACCCAAUAGUGCAAAUAUUCCCACAUCCCCUACCCACAACAGGGGUGAGCACAUUGCAAAUGUUCCGCCGGCGAAUCAGCACCUGCCUGGAGGUGUUCUUGGUGUCUGCGUCCUGCCUCCAGUACAGAGGACCUCAAAUCCAUGAUACUUCACCUGGUGCUCCCCAGGAAAGCCUGGCAGAGGACCUGACGAUUCCCAGCAAGACCAAGCACUGCUGUCCAGGGUCAGCCACGGUCACUUCUCUGCAGCUGUCAUCCGGGCACAAUCUCCAAAUAUUUCUAGCCAUUCAGACGUUCACUAUAAUCAGAAUUAACGCAUGUAGAACCAAAGAGCCAGACACAUGGGUUCAAACCUGCCCCACCAUUUACAGUGAGAGCUUAGUGAGUCACUUAACCUGUGCCUCAGUUUUCUCACCUGUAAAAAGAACAUAACAGUAACAAUACCAUUGAGCUGCUAUGCAGUGGAUGAGCUUCUAUAUGAAAGGUGAGUGAAAAGUGUCUGGAUGUGGUGGUGUCAACCUUUCCCUGGGGUGGUGGUGGCUGAUCUGUGGCACCCCACAUGACAAUGUCUUUGCCAUGGCAGUAGAUGCUGUUAAAUCAGGCCCUGGGUUUGUCUUGGCUUGACUUGUUUCCAUUUUCAAUUGAAAAUUAAAUGUGGAUAGACUUCAGCCUGACUCGGUCUGCUCCCUGGAC